GGGGCUGACCGGUAUUGACAGCGUGUAGAGGUGGUGAGUAAGCAUGCAGAGCAAUGAUGGCUACGCUCUUAAAUCAGGGACAUCAAAAUUUCAAAUGGCGAAAACAACUACGCUCUCGCUGCUUAAUCGAAGUACAGUAGAUUAACUUUAUUUCCGCAACAGUUGCGGAAACGAGACAUCACCCGGUUGUCCUUUUUCCGAGACUAAUCGACAAGGUGGUGCAGUUAAAUCGGGAAUAUAGCACUGAAAGCCUCGCGAAGUGCCGAAACCUUAGA
rnacentral:tmRNA from 1 species